rnacentral:rRNA from 1 species
AUUGAACGCUGGCGGCAGGCCUAACACAUGCAAGUCGAACGCGUGGCGGACGUGUGAGUAAUGUCUGUGAAACUGCUCGAUGGAUGGGGAUCACUACUGGAAACGGUAGCUAAUACCGCAUACCUUAGCCUGGGCCCAGAUGGGAUUAGCUAGUAGGUGGGGUAAUGGCUCACCUAGGCGACGAUCCCUAGCUGGUCUGAGAGGAUGACCAGCCACACUGGAACUGUGACACGGUCCAGACUCCUACGGGAGGCAGCAGUGGGGAAUAUUUCACAAUGGGCGCAAGCCUGAUGCAGCCAUGCCGCGUGUAUGAAGAAGGCCUUCGGGUUGUAAAGUACUUUCAGCGAGGAUGCGUUACUCGCAGAAGAAGCACCGGCUAACUCCGUGCCAGCAGCCGCGGUAAUUC